rnacentral:misc_RNA from 1 species
GUAGGUGAACCUGCGGAAGGAUCAUUAUCGAGUUAGGGUCCUCUGGGCCCGAUCUCCAACCCUGUGUUUAAUUACCAUGUUGCUUUGGCGGGCCCGUUCUCACGACCGCCGGGGGUUCUAAACCUUUGGCCCGUGCCCGUCAAUGGCCCCUUCAAAUUCUUGACAAAAUGUGAUGUCUGAGUUAUAAAAUUAAUAGUUAAAACUUUCAACAACGGAUCUCUUGGUUCUG